AUACGUAGGGUGCGAGCGUUGUCCGGAAUUACUGGGCGUAAAGAGCUCGUAGGUGGUUUGUCGCGUCGUCUGUGAAAUUCCGGGGCUUAACUCCGGGCGUGCAGGCGAUACGGGCAUAACUUGUGUACUGUAGGGGAGUCUGGAAUUCCUGGUGUAGCGGUGAAUGGCGCAGAUAUCAGGGGGAACACCGGUGGCGAAGGCGGGUCUCUGGGCAGUAACUGACGCUGAGGAGCGAAAGAAUGGGUAGCGAACAGGAUUAGAUACCCUGGGAGUCCAUGCCGUAAACGGUGGGCGCUAGGUGUAGGGGUCUUCCACGACUUCUGUGCCGUAGCUAACGCAUUAAGCGCCCCGCCUGGGGAGUACGGCCGCAAGGCUAAAACUCAAAGGAAUUGGCGGGG
rnacentral:rRNA from 1 species